CAGCGGACGACGCGAUCCAUUAUGUUAAUAUCGUAACGGUAUUAUACAUGUAUAGUGUUAUAAAAUGUUAUGUUCAGAUACAGUUAACAAUAUUAUUUCCGAAUUGAUUUCUACGCCUGGGUGCCGAAUAAUUUUUCGGGAAAAGUGUAAAACAACACUGUUUUUACGAAACUCGAGUAUUAUAUCCGCGUACAGUAUAUCGCGAAAACUACAACGACGGUUCGUCGACUUGGAAUAGAAAAAAAAAAUAAACAAACUCGAAGUGACUGAUUUACGCGAGAAAAUCGAUCGUUUGACGCAUCCGCGAGGUCGCAGUAAAUACAUAAUAGUAUAAUCCGUCGUCGAUUUUUUUUUUUUUAACUAUGUUCGUACUACGUACAUAAAAAAAAAAAAUAUGUAUUAAAUUAACAAGUAUACUGUAAUAUUAAAAUUAUUGUGUAACGAAUUUCUAAAGAGAAACACGCGGUCAACGAAUAUUAUUAUUAAGCUGUAGAUUUAGAUUCCCCGUGAAGUUUAUUCGCG